rnacentral:misc_RNA from 1 species
GAUGAAGACCGUAGCGAAAUGCGAUAAGUAAUGUGAAUUGCAGAAUUCAGUGAAUCAUCGAAUCUUUGAACGCACAUUGCGCCCGCCAGCAUUCUGGCGGGCAUGACUGUUCGAGCGUCAUUUCAACCCUCGCAGCCCAUCUGGGCAGCGGUGUUGGGGACCGGCACCACCGGCGAAGCCCUUAGGGGCCCAGCCGGCGCCGCCCCCGAAAUACAGUGGCGGUCUCGCUGCAGCCUCCCUUGCGUAGUAGCACACCUCGCACCGGAGCGCAGCGCGGCCACGCCGUAAAACCCCCGACUUUCUGAGUUUGACCUCGAAUCAGGUAGGAAUACCCGCUGAACUUAAGCAUAUCAAUAAGCGGAGGA